GUCUAAUCUGCUCAAUGAAUAAUUUUAAAUAGCUGCAAUAUUUUAAUUGUACAAAGGUAGCAUAAUCAUUUGUCUUUUAAUUUAAGAAUAGAAUGAAAGAUUAAAUAAAAUAUUAACUAUAUUAAUUCAAUAAAAAUUUAAAUUUUAUUUUUAAGUAAAAAAUCUUAAAUUUAUUUAUUAGACGAUAAGACCCUAUAGAACUUUAUACUUAUUUUUAAUAUUAAUUUUUAUUAUUAUUAUUUUAAAAUAAAUAUUAUAUUGGGGGUAUAAAAAAAUUUAAUAAAUUUUUUUAUUAAAAUCUACAUCAUAAAUGAAAACUAAAAGAG
rnacentral:rRNA from 1 species